rnacentral:rRNA from 1 species
AUUGAACGCUGGCGGCAGGCUUAACACAUGCAAGUCGAGCGGAGAGAGGUAGCUUGCUACUGAUCUUAGCGGCGGACGGGUGAGUAAUGCUUAGGAAUCUGCCUAUUAGUGGGGGACAACAUUUCGAAAGGAAUGCUAAUACCGCAUACGUCCUACGGGAGAAAGCAGGGGAUCACUUGUGACCUUGCGCUAAUAGAUGAGCCUAAGUCGGAUUAGCUAGUUGGUGGGGUAAAGGCCUACCAAGGCGACGAUCUGUAGCGGGUCUGAGAGGAUGAUCCGCCACACUGGGACUGAGACACGGCCCAGACUCCUACGGGAGGCAGCAGUGGGGAAUAUUGGACAAUGGGGGGAACCCUGAUCCAGCCAUGCCGCGUGUGUGAAGAAGGCCUUAUGGUUGUAAAGCACUUUAAGCGAGGAGGAGGCUCUUUUGGUUAAUACCCAAGAUGAGUGGACGUUACUCGCAGAAUAAGCACCGGCUAACUCUGUGCCAGCAGCCGCCGUAA